rnacentral:tRNA from 1 species
GGGCCUGUAGCUCAGUUGGUAGAGCAGUUGACUCUUAAUCAAUUGGUCGGGGGUUCGAGGCCUCCCAGGCCCACCA